AGAGUUUGAUCCUGGCUCAGGAUGAACGCUGGCGGCGUGCCUAACACAUGCAAGUCGAACGGGGGCCAGCGGCGGAAGGGGAUGGUUUACCAGACCCGGAAGGCGCGGGCCUUAGUGGCGGACGGGUGAGUAACGCGUGGGGAACCUGCCCCGUACCGGGGGAUAACACCUGGAAACAGGUGCUAAUACCGCAUAACAGAAGGGGACGUAUGUUCCUUUCUUGAAAACUCCGGUGGUACGGGAUGGACCCGCGUCUGAUUAGCUGGUUGGCGGGGUAACGGCCCACCAAGGCGACGAUCAGUAGCCGGCCUGAGAGGGCGGACGGCCACAUUGGGACUGAGACACGGCCCAAACUCCUACGGGAGGCAGCAGUGGGGAAUAUUGCACAAUGGGGGAAACCCUGAUGCAGCGACGCCGCGUGAGUGAAGAAGCGUUUCGGCGCGUAAAGCUCUGUCAGCGGGGAAGAAACACGGUUCGCGAGAGCCGCGGACGGUACCCGACCAAGAAGCCCCGGCUAACUACGCGCCAGCAGCCGCGGUAAUACGUAGGGGGCAAGCGUUAUCCGGAUUCACUGGGUGUAAAGGGAGCGUAGACGGCGAGACAAGUCUGGAGUGAAAGGCCGGGGCCCAACCCCGGGACUGCUCUGGAAACUGCCUGGCUGGAGUACAGGAGAGGUAAGUGGAAUUCCUAGUGUAGCGGUGAAAUGCGUAGAUAUUAGGAGGAACACCAGUGGCGAAGGCGGCUUACUGGACUGUAACUGACGUUGAGGCUCGAAAGCGUGGGGAGCAAACAGGAUUAGAUACCCUGGUAGUCCACGCCGUAAACGAUGAUCACUAGGUGUCGGGGGUUAGAAGGCCCCCGGUGCCGCAGCCAACGCAGUAAGUGAUCCACCUGGGGAGUACGUUCGCAAGAAUGAAACUCAAAGGAAUUGACGGGGACCCGCACAAGCGGUGGAGCAUGUGGUUUAAUUCGAUGAUACGCGAGGAACCUUACCCGGGCUCAAACGACGGAUGAAUGUUUUUGAAAGGAGGCAGCCCUUCGGGGCAUCCGUCGAGGUGCUGCAUGGUUGUCGUCAGCUCGUGCCAUGAGGUGUCGGCUUAAGUGCCAUAACGAGCGCAACCCCCAUCGCCAGUUACCAGCAAGUGAAGUUGGGGACUCUGGCGAGACUGCCGGCGCAAGCUGUGAGGAAGGCGGGGAUGACGUCAAAUCAGCACGGCCCUUACGUCCGGGGCGACACACGUGUUACAAUGGCAGGUACAGAGAGACGCCACCUGGCGACAGGGAGCAGAACUCGAAAGCCUGUCUCAGUUCGGAUCGGAGUCUGCAACCCGACUCCGUGAAGCUGGAUUCGCUAGUAAUCGCGCAUCAGCCAUGGCGCGGUGAAUACGUUCCCGGGCCUUGCACACACCGCCCGUCA
rnacentral:rRNA from 1 species